rnacentral:tRNA from 1 species
AAGAAUUUAGUUAAAAAAUAACAUUAGUUUGUCAAACUAAAAUUAUAAAUUUAGUUCUUU